rnacentral:rRNA from 1 species
UGGGGAAUUGUUCACAAUGGGCGCAAGCCUGAUGACGCAACGCCGCGUGGGGGAUGAAGGUCUUCGGAUCGUAAACCCCUGUCGAAUGGGACGAAAGACUCGCGAGUGAAUACUUCGCGAGAGUGACGGUACCGUUAAAGGAAGCCACGGCUAACUCUGUGCCAGCAGCCGCGGUAAUACAGAGGUGGCAAGCGUUGUUCGGAAUUACUGGGCGUAAAGGGCGCGUAGGCGGCCCUCUAAGUCAGACGUGAAAUCCCCCGGCUUAACCUGGGAACUGCGUCUGAUACUGGAGGGCUUGAGUAUGGGAGAGGGAUGUAGAAUUCCAGGUGUAGCGGUGAAAUGCGUAGAUAUCAAGAGGAACACCUGAGGUGAAGACGGGUUGCUGGGCUGACACUGACGCUGAGGCGCGAAAGCCAGGGG